GACGAACGCUGGCGGCGUGCCUAAUACAUGCAAGUCGAACGCAGUGGGGACGGGUGAGUAACACGUUGGUAACCUCCCAUCAGAGGGGAUAACACUUGGAAACAGGUGCUAAACCUAUACUUAUGGAUGGACACGCGGUGCAUUAGCUAGUUGGUGGGGUAACGGCUCACCAAGGCCACGAUGCAUAGCCGACCUGAGAGGGGGAUCGGCCAAACUGGGACUGAGACACGGCCCAGACGCCUACGGGAGGAAGCAGUAGGGAAUCUUCGGCAAUGGACGAAAGUCUGACCGAGCAACGCCGCGUGAGUGAAGAAGGUUUUCGGAUCGUAAAACUCUGUUGUUAGAGAAGCGGUAUCUAACCAGAAAGCCACGGCUAACUACGUGCCAGCCGCCGCGGUAAUUC
rnacentral:rRNA from 1 species